AGCGACUUAUAUUCUGUAGCAAGGUUAACCGAAUAGGGGAGCCGGAGGGAAACCGAGUCUUAAUUGGGCGUUAAGUUGCAGGGUAUAGACCCGAAACCCGGUGAUCUAGCCAUGGGCAGGUUGAAGGUUGGGUAACACUAACUGGAGGACCGAACCGACUAAUGUUGAAAAAUUAGCGGAUGACCUGUGGCUGGGGGUGAAAGGCCAAUCAAACCGGGAGAUAGCUGGUUCUCCCCGAAAGCUAUUUAGGUAGCGCCUCGUGAAUUCAUCUCCGGGGGUAGAGCACUGUUUCGGCUAGGGGGCCAUCCCGGCUUACCAACCCGAUGCAAACUGCGAAUACCGGAGAAUGUUAUCACGGGAGACACACGGCGGGUGCUAACGUCCGUCGUGAAGAGGGAAACAACCCAGACCGCCAGCUAAGGUCCCAAAGUCAUGGUUAAGUGGGAAACGAUGUGGGAAGGCCCAGACAGCCAGGAUGUUGGCUUAGAAGCAGCCAUCAUUUAAAGAAAGCGUAAUAGCUCACUGGUCGAGUCGGCCUGCGCGGAAGAUGUAACGGGGCUAAACCAUGCACCGAAGCUGCGGCAGCGACACUGUGUGUUGUUGGGUAGGGGAGCGUUCUGUAAGCCUGUGAAGGUGUGUCGUGAGGCAUGCUGGAGGUAUCAGAAGUGCGAAUGCUGACAUAAGUAACGAUAAAGCGGGUGAAAAGCCCGCUCGCCGGAAGACCAAGGGUUCCUGUCCAACGUUAAUCGGGGCAGGGUGAGUCGACCCCUAAGGCGAGGCCGAAAGGCGUAGUCGAUGGGAAACGGGUUAAUAUUCCCGUACUUGGUGUUACUGCGAAGGGGGGACGGAGAAGGCUAUGUUGGCCGGGCGACGGUUGUCCCGGUUUAAGCGUGUAGGUGUGUGUUCCAGGUAAAUCCGGUUCACUUUAACACUGAGGCGUGACGACGAGGCACUACGGUGCUGAAGCAACAAAUGCCCUGCUUCCAGGAAAAGCCUCUAAGCAUCAGGUAACAUCAAAUCGUACCCCAAACCGACACAGGUGGUCAGGUAGAGAAUACCAAGGCGCUUGAGAGAACUCGGGUGAAGGAACUAGGCAAAAUGGUGCCGUAACUUCGGGAGAAGGCACGCUGACACGUAGGUGAAGUGAUUUACUCAUGGAGCUGAAGUCAGUCGAAGAUACCAGCUGGCUGCAACUGUUUAUUAAAAACACAGCACUGUGCAAACACGAAAGUGGACGUAUACGGUGUGACGCCUGCCCGGUGCCGGAAGGUUAAUUGAUGGGGUCAGCGCAAGCGAAGCUCCUGAUCGAAGCCCCGGUAAACGGCGGCCGUAACUAUAACGGUCCUAAGGUAGCGAAAUUCCUUGUCGGGUAAGUUCCGACCUGCACGAAUGGCGUAAUGAUGGCCAGGCUGUCUCCACCCGAGACUCAGUGAAAUUGAACUCGCUGUGAAGAUGCAGUGUACCCGCGGCAAGACGGAAAGACCCCGUGAACCUUUACUAUAGCUUGACACUGAACAUUGAGCCUUGAUGUGUAGGAUAGGUGGGAGGCUUUGAAGUGUGGACGCCAGUCUGCAUGGAGCCGACCUUGAAAUACCACCCUUUAAUGUUUGAUGUUCUAACGUGGACCCGUUACCCGGGUUGCGGACAGUGUCUGGUGGGUAGUUUGACUGGGGCGGUCUCCUCCUAAAGAGUAACGGAGGAGCACGAAGGUUGGCUAAUCCUGGUCGGACAUCAGGAGGUUAGUGCAAUGGCAUAAGCCAGCUUGACUGCGAGCGUGACGGCGCGAGCAGGUGCGAAAGCAGGUCAUAGUGAUCCGGUGGUUCUGAAUGGAAGGGCCAUCGCUCAACGGAUAAAAGGUACUCCGGGGAUAACAGGCUGAUACCGCCCAAGAGUUCAUAUCGACGGCGGUGUUUGGCACCUCGAUGUCGGCUCAUCACAUCCUGGGGCUGAAGUAGGUCCCAAGGGUAUGGCUGUUCGCCAUUUAAAGUGGUACGCGAGCUGGGUUUAGAACGUCGUGAGACAGUUCGGUCCCUAUCUGCCGUGGGCGCUGGAGAACUGAGGGGGGCUGCUCCUAGUACGAGAGGACCGGAGUGGACGCAUCACUGGUGUUCGGGUUGUCAUGCCAAUGGCACUGCCCGGUAGCUAAAUGCGGAAGAGAUAAGUGCUGAAAGCAUCUAAGCACGAAACUUGCCCCGAG
rnacentral:rRNA from 1 species